rnacentral:rRNA from 1 species
GUGGGGAAUUUUGGACAAUGGGCGCAAGCCUGAUCCAGCAAUGCCACGUGUGUGAAGAAGGCCUUCGGGUUGUAAAGCACUUUUGGCAGGAAAGAAAUAGCGCGUGCUAAUACCAUGCGCGAAUGACGGUACCUGCAGAAUAAGCACCGGCUAACUACGUGCCAGCGGCCGCGGUAAGACGUAGGGUGCAAGCGUUAAUCGGAAUUACUGGGCGUAAAGCGUGCGCAGGCGGUUUUGUAAGACAGGUGUGAAAUCCCCGGGCUCAACCUGGGAACUGCACUUGUGACUGCAAGGCUAGAGUGUGUCAGAGGGAGGUGGAAUUCCGCGUGUAGCAGUGAAAUGCGUAGAGAUGCGGAGGAACACCGAUGGCGAAGGCAGCCUCCUGGGAUAACACUGACGCUCAGGCACGAAAGCGUGGGGAGCAAACAGGAUUAGAUACCCCGGUAGUCC